AGUGAACGCUGGCGGUAGGCCUAACACAUGCAAGUCGAACGGCAGCACAGUAAGAGCUUGCUCUUACGGGUGGCGAGUGGCGGACGGGUGAGGAAUACAUCGGAUUCUACUUUUUCGUGGGUGAUAACGUAGGGCAACUUACGCUAAUACCGCAUACGUCCAACGGCUGAAAGCAGGGGAUCAUCGGACCUUGCGCGAUUGAUUGAGCUGAUGCCGGAUUAGCUAGUUGGCGGGGUAAAGGCCCACCAAGGCGACGAUCCGUAGCUGGUCUGAGAGGAUGAUCAGCCAAACUGGAACUGAGACACGGUCCAGACUCCUACGGGAGGCAGCAGUGGGGAAUAUUGGACAAUGGGCGCAAGCCUGAUCCAGCCAUGCCGCGUGGGUGAAGAAGGCCUUCGGGUUGUAAAGCCCUUUUGUUGGGAAAGAAAAGCAGCAGGUUAAUACCCCGAUGUUCUGACGGUACCCAAAGAAUAAGCACCGGCUAACUUCGUG
rnacentral:rRNA from 1 species